ensembl:snRNA U6 U6 spliceosomal RNA
GUGCUCGCUUCGGUAGUACAUAUACUAAAAUUGGAACGAUACAGAGAAGAUUAGCAUGACCCCUGUGCAAGGAUGACACGCAAAUUCGUGAAGCGUGUAGACGCUGCCUACAUUUUU